rnacentral:piRNA from 1 species
CAGAUAGGUAUAGCUUCUCGAGGCUCAGC